AUCACAAACACCAGAACCACAGACUCUGGACUUUAUAAGCUACAGGUGCAAGGUACAAACAUACCGACCAAACACAGGAAGUUUCGUGUUACGGUCGAUGAAUCUGGGUUGUCCAUAGGCAUUAUAGUGCUGAUAUGCGUGUGUGUUAUUGCACUGAUCUUGGUGGUGGUUGGGAUUUACUGUCGGCAACGAAGUCGACAAGGCCAGUAUUAACCAAAGUGAAGAUAAAGGAAAUGGGGUACAGGAUCCAUUGAAAGGACAGCAAUAGUUCAGUGCUUCUGUAACAUAAGCUGUGGAUGAAAUCAACCUGUGUGCUGCUGAGUUGUAAUAGAGAAUAUGCUUACAUAUGUUGUACAUUCGUUGGAACAGUUUGCACUACAUGCUGAUCAAUGAUCCUAUUACUUUAUGGUGCACUUCUUUUUUUUGCGUAUAAUUAUAAGAUAUCGUACCUGUUAUUGAUACAUAUAUAGUCAUGGUGGCUGGUGGGACCAUUGAAUGCAGCUUUGAAAGUUUUAGGUGCAAAUUCUUUAGAUCACCUGACAUCUGAAGGUGUCAUUUAAA